rnacentral:tRNA from 2 species
GCCGGUGUGGCGAAAUGGCAGACGCACAGGACUUAAAAUCCUGGGCCCUUAAAAAGGCGUGUGGGUUCGAGUCCCACCACCGGCACCA